rnacentral:rRNA from 1 species
UACGUAGGGGGCAAGCGUUGUCCGGAUUUAUUGGGCGUAAAGAGCGUGUAGGCGGCUUGGUAGGUCUGCUGUGAAAACUCGGGGCUCAACCCCGAGACGUCGGUGGAAACCAGCUGGCUAGAGUCCGGAAGAGGAGAGUGGAAUUCCUGGUGUAGCGGUGAAAUGCGCAGAUAUCAGGAAGAACACCAGUGGCGAAGGCGGCUCACUGGCCCGGUACUGACGCUGAGGUGCGAAAGCGUGGGGAGCAAACAGG